UUUGAUUCCGAGAGAAGUUUGGCCUGAUCCAACGGCAGUCAAUGCGUGCUCAAUCUGUACUAGCUUUCCGGUAGGACUGAAAGUAGUGAGAGAAAAGGAGUACUGGCGACCCAUGGUUUAAUGCUUCAACACGCAGAGAGGAAAAACUGAGAAUGCGAGCGUGUGGGAGAGAAAGAAAGGGAUAUUUACUUGGGGUCUUAACUCUGCUUUUCUUGUUGGAGAAGAAGGUGUUUUCUUACGAGGGCUUUUACAAUGGAGUAUUUUGGGCUUUUAUAACGGCAGCUUGGUUCUCUUUACAUUGAGCUCAAUGUUUUUCCCAGAAAUCUGCCCUUCAAAUCUGCAAACACAAACAAUCUUGUAAGGGUACAAGGGAAGCACUCAGAACUUGUAAGAAACUUUAAAAUGCUCAUUUAUAUCUCUCUUUGACCACUUUGCAAAAACUAAGAUUAUGCUCACUAGUCCACCAUCACUCUGAUUAUAGAAGCAAGACUCGACAAUUUAACAACUUAAAAUCACUAAGAGGAAAGAAAAGGAACCUUCAAGCACCUGCAAGUACAUUUGAUUGACACUGGGUUGAGAAACUUUCAUUCAUUUUCACUUAAACAGUAUCUCACAUAAUUUAAUCUCCUGAACUACUAACUAAAGUGUUGAGAGCCAAUUUUGACAUAGGUAAUAAGUUGCACAAGUUAGUAAGAAGUGGCUCAUUGAGCAACCAAAUUGCCAAGAUGUCUUAUUUCAAACCCAAGAACAGAGGAAUGCCUUAUUUUUAUUUUUCUAAGGAACUACAUAUUUGCCCCCCUCUUUUUUUCAGUUGAAACAGAAACAGGGUACAUGUACAACGUGUUAAAGUCAAGUCCAUAACCAGACCAAUUAAGAACAUUGACCUACAAGGAGUUCCACUGAAGUUCAGAUUAUAAGCAGGCAUGCUUCUAUCUCAAUUUACCACCCCGGGUCAAAUUUCACACUUAUCAGGACACUAUAACAACAGCAGAAACUUUACAAUUUCCCACCAAACAUAAAGAGAGCUUUGAAUCUACACACCCGCCUGCUACAAUCAUUCAUGACAGAUAUUUUAGCAAAAUUAAGGCCAGAGAAACACAAGCUAAAAAAAUGGAACUUCCUAAUUACUGAGAAGCAGGCAGAAACAAACCUGUAGACAACUCCAAUAUUGGGUGUCAGAUUCUGUAUUUUCUGAACCUGAAACAGGAAGCAAUUAAAUACCAUCAACAACCAACUCAAGUUACAUCCCAUCUUGCAAAUUAGAAUAAUAGACCAAUCAACUGGCUCCAAAAUCAAACCAUCUCCACCUCAUUCAACACGAUUUAAAAUAACCAACACUACCUUUUUAUACAAAGUGGGAUUGAUGAGGAUAUAAAUCUACACACUCCAACAUUCAAAGUCCCAAUCUUAGAGUCAUUGACUAGUAUAGUAACGCCUCAUUGGCAAGAACCCAAAUCACUAAGCUCAAAUUACUAAUAAAAAUUACAAAUUUACACCGAAUUUGAACAGAUUUCUACCAACCGAUGUCACUAAAGAAAACGCAAAAAAAAAAAACGCAAAAAAACAAAAGGGCUUCUUGAAUUUAAACCAAAGAAUAUAACAAAACCAAUAAAAAAAUAAUAAAUGUUUACUUACAGAAGAUUCAUCGACUAAAAUAGAUGGCAAUUUCUUCUCAGUUGCAACAACAACACCGCUUGCCGCUACAACACCAAAAAAAUAAUAAAAUCAAACAACAUGGUAUCUAAGCACCCAUCAACAACAGUAGUGCAUUCGAAAAUGACAAGAAAAUGAGAAAACAAGAGAGAGAGGAGCUUAAAUUGCAACAACCUUUGAUUCCGAGAGAAGUUUGGCCUGAUCCAACGGCAGUCAAUGCGUGCUCAAAUCUGUACUAGCUUUCCGGUAGGACUGAAAGUAGUGAGAGAAAAGGAGUACUGGCUAUCACCCAUGGUUUAUUGCUUAAGACGCAGAGAGGAAAAACUGAGAAUGCGAGUGUGUGGGAGAGAAAGACAGGGAUAUUUACUUGGGGUUUUAACUUUGCUUUUCUCGUUGGAGAAGAAGGUGUUUUCUUACGAGGGCUUUUACAAUGGAGUAUUAUGGGCUUUUAUGACGGCA
rnacentral:lncRNA from 1 species